UUCUGCCAAACGCUUCCUCUUUGUGGUUGGACACCAACGACACCACGGUUGAAGACGGCAGCGAGCAGUCGGCCCAAUCCUCACCCAAUUCCGUCCAGUUGGCCGCCGCAGGUAACCCCGGCGACCCCUCCGGCCGACGCUGCAACUCCUUACUCGGUGGCGAGGGCGGCCGGGAAGUCGGCGAUUGCGAGAAGAAGCGCGGCUACGUCUGCAAGAGACGAGUCGUUCAGACAUGUGAAACAAACAAAGGGUG